rnacentral:rRNA from 1 species
GAUAUACUCCAUAGAUUAGAGACACUGGAAUGUUCUUUAGUCGAAAGUUCUGGCGCCUUAGGAUGGAUCUGCGGUCGAUUAGGUUGUUGUUGGGGUAACGGCCCAACAAGCCUGUAAUCGAUACGGGUUGUGGGAGCAAGAGCCCGGAGAUGGAAUCUGAGACACGAUUCCAGGCCCUACGGGGCGCAGCAGGCGCGAAAACUUUACAAUGCAGGAAACUGUGAUAAGGGAACUCCGAGUGCCCGUAUACGCGGGCUGUCCAGGUGUUUAAAAAUCAUCUGAAGAAAGGGCCGGGCAAGACCGGUGCCAGCCGCCGCGGUAAUACCGGCGGCUCGAGUGGUGGCCACUAUUAUUGGGCUUAAAGCGUCCGUAGCUGGACCGAUAAGUCUCUUGGGAAAUCCGCCGGCUCAACCGGCGGGCGUCUAAGGGAUACUGUUAGUCUAGGGACCGGGAGAGGUGAGAGGUACUCCGGGGGUAGGAGUGAAAUCCUGUAAUCCCCGGGGGACCACCUAUGGCGAAAGGCAUCUCACCAGAACGGCUCCGACAGUGAAGGACGAAAGCUGGGGGAGCGAACCGGAUUAGAUACCCGGGUAGUCCCAGCCGUAAACUAUGCGCGUUAGGUGU